CAAUAGCGUAUAUUAAAGUUGUUGCAGUUAAAAAGCUCGUAGUUGGAUUUCUGGUGGGAGCGAUCGGUCUGGCGCUUAGCGCGAGUACUUGCAUCGUCUCCGGCCAUCCUUGGGGAGAGUCUGUCUGGCAUUAGGUUGUCGGGCAGAGGAUCCUCAUCGUUUACAGUGAAAAAAUUAGAGUGUUCAAAGCAGGCUUAUGCCGUUGAAUAUAUUAGCAUGGAAUAAUAAGAUAGGACUUUGGUACUAUUUUGUUGGUUUGCGCACCAAAGUAAUGAUUAAUAGGGACAGUUGGGGGUAUUCGUAUUCCGUUGUCAGAGGUGAAAUUCUUGGAUUUACGGAAGACGAACUACUGCGAAAGCAUUUACCAAGGAUGUUUUCAUUAA
rnacentral:rRNA from 1 species